UACGGGGGGAGCAAGCGUUGUUCGGAUUUACUGGGCGUAAAGGGCUCGUAGGCGGUCUGUCACGUCGGAUGUGAAAGCCCGGGGCUUAACCCCGGGUCUGCAUUCGAUACGGGCAGACUAGAGUGUGGUAGGGGAGAUCGGAAUUCCUGGUGUAGCGGUGAAAUGCGCAGAUAUCAGGAGGAACACCGGUGGCGAAGGCGGAUCUCUGGGCCAUUACUGACGCUGAGGAGCGAAAGCGUGGGGAGCGAACAGG
rnacentral:rRNA from 1 species